GUGUCUCUUGCCUCGCUCGGUUUUCUGUUUUCAUCGGAUGAUCUUGAGCUGGAUGCAGUUGUACUAUAAGUGCAAUCUGUAUGAGACGAGAAGAAACGCGACGAUCUUUGAGUACGGUUCUAUCCGCAUGCCACGGACUGAACCGUAAUUUAUAGUCGGGACAUCU
rnacentral:snoRNA from 1 species